UACAGAGGGUGCAAACGUUGCUCGGAAUUACUGGGCGUAAAGCGCGUGUAGGCUGACCGGAAAGUCGGGCGUGAAAUCCCUGAGCUCAACUCAGGAACUGCACUCGAAACUCUCGGUCUAGAGUGGUGGAGAGGGAAGUGGAAUUCCUGGUGUAGAGGUGAAAUUCGUAGAUAUCAGGAGGAACACCAGUGGCGAAGGCGGCUUCCUGGACACCAACUGACGCUGAGACGCGAAAGCGUGGGGAGCAAACAGG
rnacentral:rRNA from 1 species